rnacentral:rRNA from 1 species
UACGAAGGGGGCUAGCGUUGCUCGGAAUUACUGGGCGUAAAGGGCGCGUAGGCGGACUGUUACGUUAGAGGUGAAAGCCCAGGGCUCAACCUUGGAAUUGCCUUUGAUACUGGCAGUCUUGAGUACGGAAGAGGUAUGUGGAACUCCGAGUGUAGAGGUGAAAUUCGUAGAUAUUCGGAAGAACACCAGUGGCGAAGGCGACAUACUGGUCCGUUACUGACGCUGAGGCUCGAAAGCGUGGGGAGCAAACAGG